AUGGCCUGGGCUCCUCUCUUGUUCGCACUGCUGGCUCACUGCACAGAGUCCUGGGCCCAGUCGGUGGUGACUCAGCCAUCUGCAGUGUCCAAGCCUGUGAAUAAGACUGUUACCAUCUCCUGCACGGGAAGCAGCAGCAAUGUUGGUGCUGGAGGUGUGUCCUGGUACCAGCAGCUCCCAGGCAGUGUCCCCAACGUUGUCAUCUAUGGUAGCAGUGCUCGGCCUGCGGGGGUCCUGUCCAGAUUCUUAGGCUCCAGGUCAGGGAACGUGGCCUCCGUGAUCAUCUCUAGCCUCCAGGCUGAGGAUGAGGCUGAUUUUUGGUGCUCAGUGUGGGGCCACAGUCUCAAAACUCACACACUGCUCCAGGCCUGUGGGGAAGGGAUACCCAAACCUGCUGUCCCCUCAGCAAUGGGACUUCCUGUGCAGCUCACACCCCUUGGCCAACACAGCUGUUUCUUUGUUCGUUUCUAA